AACGCACAUUGCACCCCUUGGUAUUCCGAGGGGUAUGCCUGUUCGAGCGUCAUUAUGACCAUUCCAGCCCGGCUGGGUAUUGGGCUUCGCCGGUCGGCGGGCCUUGAAACGAGUGGCGGUGCUCUUAGGCUCUACGCGAAGUAACUUUUCUCGCUACAGGGUCUUAGGAAGUUCUAGCCAUUAACCUCAUUUUUCUUAAGGUUGACCUCGGAUCAGGUAGGGAUACCCGCUGAACUUAA
rnacentral:misc_RNA from 1 species